rnacentral:rRNA from 1 species
AUUGAACGCUGGCGGCAGGCCUAACACAUGCAAGUCGAACGGUAACAGGAAACAGCUUGCUGUUUCGCUGACGAGUGGCGGACGGGUGAGUAAUGUCUGGGAAACUGCCUGAUGGAGGGGGAUAACUACUGGAAACGGUAGCUAAUACCGCAUAACGUCGCAAGACCAAAGAGGGGGACCUUCGGGCCUCUUGCCAUCUGAUGUGCCCAGAUGGGAUUAGCUAGUAGGUGGGGUAACGGCUCACCUAGGCGACGAUCCCUAGCUGGUCUGAGAGGAUGACCAGCCACACUGGAACUGAGACACGGUCCAGACUCCUACGGGAGGCAGCAGUGGGGAAUAUUGCACAAUGGGCGCGAGCCUGAUGCAGCCAUGCCGCGUGUAUGAAGAAGGCCUUCGGGUUGUAAAGUACUUUCAGCGGGGAGGAAGGGAGUAAAGUUAAUACCUUUGCUCAUUGACGUUACCCGCAGAAGAAGCACCGGCUAACUCCGUG